rnacentral:tRNA from 1 species
UGUUCUGUGGCGGAGUUGGUUAACGCGCCCUGUCUAGCGAACUUGGGGAGACGUGGGCUCAAAUCCCACCAGAACUA